GUCAGGUUACUAAAACUUAACACUAACCACAUCCUGAACAUCUCAAACCACAUCAACUUCAUUGUCUGCUACAGGUUCUCCACCUACACAAUUUCCAGUUAUCUAUGUGGUCAUCGGUGUAUCUGUGGUUUUGGUACUGCUUAUGAUUGGACUCCUAUUCUUCAUAGUCACUCUUCAAAAGAGAGGCAAGAGUCAAGAUUCAGCCUCAAACCAAAGCCAACCCCUCAGAGAUUCUGCAAAUCACAUGGUUUCUUUUGCUGUCUAUGAGGAGAUUAAAGACAGUAGACACCUUUCUGCCACAGUCUACUCUAUGGCUCAACUACCUUCAAACCCCUCAGAAGCUUUUCAAACUGUUUAUGAUAUUGUUCAGUUACCCUCAAACCCCUCAGAACCUUCUGAAACUGUUGAUGAUAAUGCUAAGGUAGCCUCAAACCCCUCAGAACCUUCUAAAAU